AAGCUAUGCGGAAAACAACGGAAACGCGUUCUGAUUUUAAGUGCACAGUAACUCCAAGGGAAACAAGUCCAGCGUUCGACUCCUGGGAACAAAUAAUUAGGGGCUUUUUUUUUUCUCUCCUUUUUUCCUCUUCCCUUUCUCAUUCAUUCCCAUCCUCGCUUGACGCUUCAUUCCCAAUCUCCUUCAAUUCCCUCAACAACCUACUCACCUUCAAAUUCAACAGUACUUCACUCAACAUCUUGCUCACCUGCCCAAUCCCCUUCAAUUUCUUAACUUGAAGCUUCCCAGCUAGGGUUUCGAUUUCACAUCCAAUUACUCGAUCGAAGAAGGGAACUGCGAUUUUUCUCUCUAACAGGGCCUAUUUUCCGUGCUCCAUGAAUGCCACCUUUCCAGUAAACUCCUCUGCUACCUGUAAUCUUGAACUGCCUUGCAGUUGAUGCACAUAGAAUCUUUUGCCUUCUGCUGGCAUCCUCCAACGUGGACAACUAGUCUGCUAAAGUAAAAAGGUUCCAGUUGUGGUUUGGGCCUCAGGAUAUAUCAUAACAGGCUCUUAGUAGUUAGUAUGCACAAUUUAGAAGGAAGACAUUAUGUACUUAUGAAAGUUCAAAAGACCAUUUUUGGCGUGAUGAUAAUCAGGUUUAAGAGAAGCAAGAAAGUGUAGGUCCAUGACACGCAGUUGAUGUAAUGGUCUCAUUUUUUGUACUAUUGUAUGGUAAACUUGGAGACCUCUGUUGUAUGAAUAUUGUGGUUAUAAAUUAUAAUUAGACUUUGAUGAUU